rnacentral:rRNA from 1 species
CCUACGGGAGACUGCAGUGAGGAAUAUUGGUCAAUGGGCGCGAGCCUGAACCAGCCAAGUAGCGUGAGGGAUGACUGCCCUACGGAUUGUAAACUUCUUUUAUAAGGGAAUAAAGUGUGGCACGUGUGCCUUUUUGUAUGUACUUUAUGAAUAAGGAUCGGCUAACUCCGUGCCAGCAGCCGCGGUAAUACGGAGGAUCCGAGCGUUAUCCGGAUUUAUUGGGUUUAAAGGGUACGUAGGCGGGCUUUUAAGUCAGUGGUGAAAGUUUGUGGCUCAACCGUAGAAUUGCCAUUGAAACUGGGAGUCGUGAGUAUAUUUGAGGCAGGCGGAAUGCGUGGUGUAGCGGUGAAAUGCUUAGAUAUCACGCAGAACCCCGAUUGCGAAGGCAGCCUACCAAGC